AAAGGGUACGCAGGCUGCCAGGUAAGUUAGUGGUGAAAGUCCGGGCUUAACUCCGGAAUUGCCAUUGAUACUGUCUGGCUAGAGUUACUUAUAUAGNUUGCAGGAAUUCCUAGUGUAGGAGUGANAUCUGUAGAUUAUUAGGAGGAACACCAAUGGCGAAGGCAAGCAACUGGGUAGUAACUGACGCUUAGGUACGAAAGCCAGGGGAGCGAAUGGGAUUAGAGACCCCAGUAGUCCUGGCCGUAAACGCUGCAUACUAGUUCUAUGGGUAUUUGAUUAUCUGUGGAACGUAGCUAACGCGUUAAGUAUGCCGCCUGGGGAGUAUGCGCGCAAGCGUGAAACUCAAAGGAAUUGACGGGGGCUCGCACAAGCGGUGGAGCAUGUGGUUUAAUUCGAUGAUACGCGAACAACCUUACCUGGGCUUGAACGUGUAGUGACAGCUGAUGAGAGUCAGUUUCUCUUCGGAGCGCUAUGCGAGGUGCUGCAUGGCUGUCGUCAGCUCGUGUUGUGAAAUGUUGGGUUAAGUCCCGCAACGAGCGCAACCCUUGUCCUAUGUUGCUAGCUCACUUCGGUGGGAAGGACUCUUAGGAGACUGCCUGGGUUAACCAGGAGGAAGGUGGGGAUGACGUCAAGUCCUCAUGGCCCUUAUGUCCAGGGCUACACACGUGCUACAAUGGGGAGUACAGAGGGAAGCAAGACCGCGAGGUUUAGCAAAUCCCAAAAAACUUCUCUCAGUUCGGAUCGGAGUCUGCAACUCGACUCCGUGAAGUUGGAAUCGCUAGUAAUCACAGAUCAGCAUGCUGUGGUGNAUACGUUCUCGAGCCUUGUACACACCGCCCGUCACACCACCCGAGUUAGACUACCCGAAGUCGCU
rnacentral:rRNA from 1 species